rnacentral:rRNA from 1 species
CCUACGGGUGGCAGCAGUGGGGAAUAUUGGGCAAUGGGCGCAAGCCUGACCCAGCAACGCCGCGUGAAGGAAGAAGGCUUUCGGGUUGUAAACUUCUUUUGACAGGGAAGAGUAGAAGACGGUACCUGUCGAAUAAGCCACGGCUACCUACGUGCCAGCAGCCGCGGUAAUACGUAGGUGGCAAGCGUUAUCCGGAUUUAUUGGGUUUAAAGGGUGCGUAGGCGGAAUGCCAAGUCAGCGGUAAAAUCGCGGGGCUCAACCUCGCUCCGCCGUUGAAACUGGCGUUCUUGAGUGGGCGAGAAGUAUGCGGAAUGCGUGGUGUAGCGGUGAAAUGCAUAGAUAUCACGCAGAACUCCGAUUGCGAAGGCAGCAUACCGGCGCCCAACUGACGCUGAAGCACGAAAGCGUGGGUAUCGAACAGGAUUAGAUACCCCUGUAGUC